ACGGGGGGAACGAGCGUUGUUCGGAUUUACUGGGCGUAAAGGGUGCGUAGGCGGGUUGGCAAGUCGGGUGUGAAAUUCCAUGGCUUAACCAUGGAUCUGCAUUCGAAACUGUUGAUCUUGAGUACUGGAGAGGUGAGUGGAAUUCUCGGUGUAGCGGUGAAAUGCGUAGAUAUCGAGAGGAACACCGUUGGCGAAGGCGGCUCACUGGACAGAUACUGACGCUGAGGCACGAAGGUCGGGGGAGCAAACAGGA
rnacentral:rRNA from 1 species